rnacentral:rRNA from 1 species
GAUGAACGCUGGCGGCGUGCCUAAUACAUGCAAGUCGAGCGAACAGACGAGGAGCUUGCUCCUCUGACGUUAGCGGCGGACGGGGGAGUAACACGUGGAUAACCUACCUAUAAUACUGGGAUAACUUCGGGAAACCGGAGCUAAUACCGGAUAAUAUAUUGAACCGCAUGGUUCAAUAGUGAAAGACGGUUUUGCUGUCACUUAUAGAUGGAUCCUCGCCGCAUUAGCUAGUUGGUAAGGUAACGGCUUACCAAGGCAACGAUGCGUAGCCGACCUGAGAGGGUGAUAGGCCACACUGGAACUGAGACACGGUCCAGACUCCUACGGGAGGCCGCGGUAGGGAAGCUUCCGCAAUGGGCGAAAGCCUGACGGAGCAACGCCGCGUGAGUGAUGAAGGGCUUCGGAUCGUAAAACUCUGUUAUUAGGGAAGAACAAAUGUGUAAGUAACUAUGCACGUCUUGACGGUACCUAAUCAGAAAGCCACGGCUAACUACGUG